rnacentral:rRNA from 1 species
GGACUACUCGGGUUUCUAAUCCUGUUUGCUCCCCACGCUGUCGCGCCUCAGCGUCAGCUACUGCCCAGCAGGCCGCCUUCGCCACUGGUGUUCUUCCGGAUCUCUACGCAUUCCACCGCUACACCCGGAAUUCCACCUGCCUCUACAGUGCUCGAGCACAGCAGUAUCGACGGCCGACUCGGGGUUGAGCCCCGAGCUUUCACCGUUGACUUGCCAUGCCGCCUACGCGCCCUUUACGCCCAGUGAUUCCGGACAACGCUCGCACCCUCCGUAUUACCGCGGCGGCUGGCAC